CACAACCUCAUGGUUCUUAGUAGGAUUCAUUAACCACUGCGCCGCGAUGGGAACUCCGAUGGCCCUGUGCAUUUAUGCAGCACCAGCAAAGCCGCUCUGAGGAGCCUGGCGACCACGGCCCCCGCAUUGAGGUCAUACUGUCAUUUUGCCCUUUCACUCCCCUUCUCUAGAAAGCACGGAGUCCGGGCAGAUAUGAAACCACUCCACUCAAUCCCGCGAUCUCCUCUGGGCUUGUAACUUCAGUGAAUUGCAUUUUUUCAUAAUUACAGGAAAAAUAGCAAAUUGGCAAACAUCAGGAAGUGGGUACACCCCCUCUGAUUUACAAGGAAGAGUGCAGGGUGACUUUACAGCUCAGGAAUUCAGUGAAAUAAAUUUAUGGUUAGAAAAAUUCAUGUUCUUAAUGUGACGAAGGUCCUUUAACUUUUAACACGCUUCUCCGGUUAAGCUGCCUAAGACUCUCACGGAAAUGGCUGUCUACAGCUGCUGCAAAUUGAUUUAUCCCCAGAUAAUAGUCAGAGCUGCAGACCGAAUUGUUGGAAAGAAACCGUUCUUUAAUUUCGGUGUUUGGGGCUGUCCAUACAUUGUGGACAUACAUUCCUGUACAUGAGCAGAGAUUGGCAGUGGCCUGACUUUUCCAGGCAAUCAGGGCAAUUUUCCUCCCCCCCUGGUGGGGGGGCUGCACGGCUGAUAAUCUCCCCAUAGAGUCCCCCCCCCCCCCCACUGGGGCCUGCAGCCCCCAUCAGCUCCUUCCUUGGCAUUCGCGAAACUCUGAGCAACCUACGUGAGAGUGGAUGGCGUGGAUGUCUGUGGCAAUACUAAUUUCUCUUUCGAAAAUUAUAUUUUGAGGAUCUGCUGAAAUCGUUGGUCCUGGGAGAGGGAUGAAUCUGCUCCACUGAAGGCGUUUUCCUGGCACGACAGAGGCGCCGCCCCAACCCUGACGCGGUCGUGGCUCCCCUGGGGCUGCCCCUCCAUCUCCAGAGGGAGCAGAGCGAGAUGUCAACCCCUGGCAAGACCUAGGACUUCAUUCAGUGACUGUUGGCUGAGCACCUACUAUGUGCAAAGCAGUGUGUCAGGUCCUGGGCACAGGGGUGCACGAGACAAGACAUGUCCACCCCUUGGGAUGACAGUCCAUCGAGAGAUAGAAAAUGAGACAAGCAAAGAGAUGCUUUGCGUAGCCUCUGUCAAGUACCUACCUGAUCCUGCGGAGAUGCUGCCAGACCUGGAGAUGCUGUGAUGCAGAAGAUGUGGCUGCUCUCUCUUCAGGAAGCACGAUUUGGCUCGUGAGACAGCGAUGGACACAUCAGCUGCUGGGACGAGCCUGGCUGACAUGUAUGAGUACCUGUGCUCAGAGAUGCAUUCUUGGACGCAAACCUAAUAUACUGGACACCUUUCCAUGGCGCCCAUCUGAAGGCUUCAAUGUGUGGGAUGCAUUCCUUUCUUCAUCCAGACAACUCUUCACUGAGGCCUAGGACAUGCUAA